rnacentral:rRNA from 1 species
UACGUAGGGGGCAAGCGUUGUCCGGAUUUAUUGGGCGUAAAGAGCGUGUAGGCGGUCUUGCAAGACAGAUGUGAAAUCGUGUGGCUCAACCAUAUCGAUGCAUCGCAUACUGGCAUGCUAGAGGAAGGCAGAGGCAAGUGGAAUUUGUAGUGUAGCAGUGAUAUGCGUAGAGAUUACAAGGAACACCAAUGGCGAAGGCAGCUUGCUGGGCCUUUUCUGACGCUGAGGUACGAAAGCGUGGGGAGCGAACAGG